UUACACACACAUACACAUGUGAAGGCCAAGUGAUAUACGCAUGUGUGAUUAUGCAACACUUACUGACCAUUUUAAGAUAUUUUGUGUCCGGAACACAAACCCUCACAUUUGAGAUGGCUGAACGGAAUCAUCGAAACUUGUUUCCACAUAAUCGAUCACGAGGCGUCGUCACCCAGCUUUAGUAGGUCUUUUCACUAUCAAAAUCACUCUGUUGACUUCCACUUUGAUGGUCACUCCUGCGUAAUUCCAGUUCCUUAUGUUACUUCUCAGGAUGUUUGCAACCUGUUGGAAACUGGUCUUACUAAAGUUCCUUCUUCUUCUCAAUAGGUUGUUAACAAUAGGCAGCGUUUCCACAUCAUGAUGUGAGCCUUUCGAUACUUCCUCUUCUAUUUUUUUAGUACUACCGGGAUUAGGAAUGGCUGGAUUCUCAUCAAUAUCUUGUUUUGUUACACACUGGAUGUUUAUUGCACUGGUUAUGGUCAGUCUGGUCACAUCCACGCUGAGAGCCUUAGAAGACAUCUCGUGUUCAGCAGAGAUGAACUAGCUUCCGAUUGAUUUAGCUCCAUCUUGUGUGUGUCUGAUGCACUUUCCACGCCAGUUGCCGAUAGCAAAAGUGGCGGUCACCGAGUUGUAGCUCCGAGCUUCACGACGAGACGAUCCGCGGUCAGUGUCGGCAAGCUAUUGAAUGCAAGCAAUCUUGGUUACUGUGGCCCUGUUUCUGGAUCUUCUUGUCAAGUCUGAAGAGCCAAAGCUGCUAUCAACAGGCAGGCAGGCAGGCAGUCAGUCAACAGGCAGGUGCCCAGGCCUCACAACUAUGCAAGAGGAAUGCAUCUAAUCCACACUUUUUUUUUUCUUUCCUCCCCCCCUCGCGGUCACACAGAAUCAAGGACAGAAGACGAUAAGGACUGGCAAUACCACUUGGCCUUAUGAUAAUUGGCAUAAUCAUAUAGUUUCCUUUGUAAGAUCUUAAGAUUCUGGUGCGGAAGGUGCGGUGACGGCAGGCAGGCAGGCUCACUCUUGGUCUCUGUGAGACUGGCUCGAUGGCCCCAGUUUUAUCGUGGUACGAAUGUUGUGCAUUUGUUUCAAAUCAGGACAGUUUGCAAUAACAGCAGUCUUACUAGUCGUGCUGAUCUCUAGAAAACCACAGAGGAAGAGAUGAUAUAUACCAUAUGAGUACAUAGAUAGAAAAACAUUCACGGUGCAUAUGUGUAGAGGUCUCAACAAUUCUUUACUAUGGUGUACUAUUACUACAUAAAAAUGUGUCCGCUUGAAUUUAAGACUAUGAGAUACUAUAUUAUGAAAUCAUACAGACUUUGAACAUCAAAUAUUAUGUUUGGGUGUGUGUUUUUCCAAAUGAGUUUGAAAAUUACAAUUGAAGGUUCUGACUCCCAUUUCUGUGUGAUUUUUGUCUGUUACAAUGUGCACAUAAUCGUGGCUUUAAACAUUUGCAUUGCAUUAGCAAGGGGUCAAAGUUGACCCCAAACCACAGCGGGACAAGAUUCCUAUGUGUUCAAAGACAUCAUCAAAUGAUUUUCAUUUCACUUUUAGGCUUUAAGCAGAGUACAAGAUGGUUUGAGCUGCUCACAGAUGAGCAACAGUUAAACCAAGAACAAGUAGAGAAAAUCGACCAGCUUUUCAAAAAAAAAAUCUUUUGCGUAAUUCAGUUUUUCCUCUGUCAAACGACUGUUUGGUGAACGUCAAAUCAUUUCAAACGUGAUUACUAGAAUUGCUUUGGCCCAGUCUGCCAACUAUUCCUUAUGUGGCAUGUCCAUAGCUGAGCUUUGCAAUGAUCAGAUCUUAUUUGCUCAGCUCGAACAGUAUUGAUCCAAGGUGGUGGCAUUGGAGCCCCCCACAUAAAGCAUCUCAGUAAGCAGUAGGGGUGAAAUUGAUUGAAUGUUUUGAAUCUUGUGUUGAAUGAAUGCUGCUUCUUUUAGUCAGUGAAUAAAAGCAUCAAAAUGU